ensembl:lncRNA
AUUUAUAACAAAAAUGAAACAUGUAAAACAACUUGUUAAUUUUAAAUAAAUGUGUUUUACCCUCUUCUCCAUAAGAGGAUCUCUGGAACAUGGAUAAACACAAGAGAUGGCUUCCUGUCACAUGUGGGAAGAAAAAGGCCUUAUUGGACAGGAAAGCAUUUUAUGACAGAAAGAAGGACUGCAUUAAAUGUGGCAAAGAAAUGAUCCCCCCUUAUAUAUUUGAGAAAAUGGGUGGAAAAGAAUCAUGCAAGUCCUGGAAAACAAGUAUAUUAUGCCAAGGCACAACCCUCAAGAGUCUCAUGGAGAUGAAAAUUUUGAAGAUACCCAAACUUAAUGGAAAAUUGACCCUUCGUAAAUGAUGUGCCAUGCAUCACAUUA